UGUUAAAAAUUCCAUUCAUUUCUACUGUUAAAAUUAACGUGGCUGAUAGAAUAAAUAGACACACAAUGUGUACCUCAUUCUCACGUACAAGUAUCAGCUUUUAAUAUUAAAAAUAAGUAGAAUUUUUAACA
rfam:Gossypium hirsutum cultivar TM-1 unplaced genomic scaffold scaffold586.1, whole genome shotgun sequence